rnacentral:lncRNA from 1 species
UCUCAGUUUUUUUUGUUUGGUGGCUUGGGGGUCCAGCACCAAUUAGGGCUUAUGGCAUAAUUUUCUUGUGCUAUUUGCACCCUGUUUGACUCAUCAUCCCCUUUUCAUUUUAUUUUAUUUUAUUUUAUUCUUAAAUGCUUUGUCAUUUUAUUUUUUGAUUUCAAUUUUUUUCAUGCAUUUGUUAAUUUCAUUUUCUCACAUAUUAAAAAAUUCAAAAAAUAUUUUUAUUUUAUUUCAAUUAAUUAAUUAAUUGCAUUUUUUUCCUUUUUAUUAUUUUUUCUCUUUUGCUUUAUUUGUUUUAUUUUACUCUUGUAUUGAUAAUACAUCUCCCUUUAUUUUAUGCCAUUUAUUCUUACUCAUGCAUUGAUAGUACAUCCACAUCCCUUUUAUUAUUUCUUUUAUGUCUUACUUAUUUUUUUCUUCGUAUUUUCUUUUAUUUUCUUUUAUUGCUCACACAUUAUGUAUUGAUAGUGUAUCUCUCUCCCUUUUAUUAUUUACUUUAUUUGUUUUAUUUUCUUUAGCUUUGAUCAACUAUUAUAUUGAUA